CCUUUGUACACACCGCCCGUCGCUACUACCGAUUGAAUGGCUCAGUGAGGCCUUGGGACUGGCUCAGAAAGAUCGGCAACGAUCAUUCAGAGCCGGAAACUUGGUCAAACUUGGUCAUUUAGAGG
rnacentral:rRNA from 1 species